ACGAGUUAGGGUCUUUCAGGCCCGACCUCCCAACCCUAUGUUUAUUGAACCUCUGUUGCUUCGGCGGACCCGUCUCACGACCGCCGGAGGACCGCCGCGAGGCGUCCUCUGGCCCGCGUCCGCCGAGAGCCAACCACUUAACACUCUGAAUGAAUCGUGUCGUUAUGUCUAAGUCUAUGAUUAAAUUAAAGCA
rnacentral:misc_RNA from 1 species